ACUGAAUCAAAACCACGCUGCCUGUUCCUACCUCCAAGACCCUCUGUAACUUGGAGUGCUCACAGUGGUGUCAUCUUCUAACCCUCUUCCUUGGCCUCCUAGGAUGUUUUCCUCUUCCCUCACCCUUCUCUUCCAGCACUGCAUUUGAUGUGAAGUCACUACUGAGAAGAUCAGCUCUUAUGAAGAAGCUGAAACCCAAACAAUUCUUCUGUCCUAAUUUGGAGAUCAGAUUGUCCAUUUGAUUCAUAUAUACAGAACAUCUGUUUAAACCCACACUGGAUAGCUGCCAGAUUACUGGAAAGGAUAUGGUAUAAAGAAGACUUUUGUUUCCUCCGAGCAAGGAGAAAAAAUAAGUUACAAGUUGGUGCAGAUUGCCGAGAAGAAGCAACUUUUUCUCUCCAGAAGCAG
rnacentral:lncRNA from 1 species